UUUGCCUACGGGGCGCAGCAGUGGGGGAUAUUGCACAAUGGGGGAAACCCUGAUGCAGCGACGCCGCGUGGGUGAAGAAGCGCCUCGGCGCGUAAAGCCCUGUCAGCAGGGAAGAAAAUGACGGUACCUGAAAAAGAAGCCCCGGCUAACUACGUGCCAGCAGCCGCGGUAAUACGUAGGGGGCAAGCGUUAUCCGGAUUUAUUGGGUGUAAAGGGCGUGUAGGCGGGAAUGCAAGUCAGAUGUGAAAACUAUGGGCUCAACCCAUAGCCUGCAUUUGAAACUGUAUUUCUUGAGUGCUGGAGAG
rnacentral:rRNA from 1 species